CUCCUCCUCCUUCUCCUCGUCCCUCCCCGCCCGGGCCCCGCGGACGUGGCCCGCUGCCGCCGGCCGGCACCAGGUGCUGGAUGCCAUCGAGCAGCACUCGUACUUGCGUGGGAAGGAGAAGGAAGGAGGACACGAGGCAAGUACUAAGCCUUCAGAAUUUUUAUAAAUACAUCUCCUCGUGUGUCCUCACCCCCCCUUCUCCAGGAACGUGAGUGGAAUGAAUUCCCUAAUCCUACAGCUACGGCAGUUCUAAACUUCAGUAGCCACCGAGUAGCCCUGGUAGCAUCUUGGUCACUUGCUGAGCCUGGGCAGGACUGAGCAGCUCGGUGCUGGGUUUGCUGUCCCCAGCUGGGCUCUUCUCCCCAGGGUGGGGAGAAGGCAGCGGGACACUGCUCUGGGAGCUGUGUGGAAUGCUGGGCUCGCACACAGUCCAGCAGCAGCUCCGUGUUUGUUUAAAAGCAGCAAAGCAGGCAGUGCUGAUUCCGGCCCUGGUUGUGCUAGAAAGAUUUGGAAUCCCCCUGUCCAUCUUUGUGGAUAGUGAUCAAUGUAAGAAGGUGGAAGCAGGGUUCUGGAUCCAUGUGGAUGUAGUUCUACAGAACCUAGGAUGAUUUAAAGUUGCUGGGUACAGCAGGCUGUGGUUUGUGGUGCUUGUGUUGUUUAAGCGGGCUCCAGUCUGUUCCCCAAGGUGUGCUGGCAUAUUUUAGCAAAUGUUUAGAAUGCUGCAGUGCUGGCAGUGAUGCACCUUGUUUUGCCAGUGGUCAUUACUUUGAUGUAUCCCAUACCAGAUUUAUGAGAGGACACGUGUUGGGGUUUCUGUGUUGAUAGUGGAUUGUUCGUGGAGAGAGAUAAUACACCAUGCUCCUCCUCUCUAAGAGCUUAAAAUUGGGCUAUUUCUGGUUGGCAGCUAUUUUUGUGUUUUCAGGGGCUAAUAUAACAAUAUAGGGCAUGUUUUAAAUGUAAACACCUGUCUGUAAUGUCUCUUUUAACACUGAGCUUCAUACAAAUAUCUGAUGAUUCUUUCAUGCACCCACAGUGAGGCUGCAGACUGUUCCUAUCUACAUAAAUGUCUCAUUUAUCAAAUCCAGAUUUCUUAUUUGCUGUCCAACUCAUCAUAUAACUUCCUCUGGCGUCUGAUUUGAGGAAACCUUGAGCUCUGGGUUGUUUCCAUCCACCCUUCUCUGUACGAGGCCUUUCAGAUUGCAAACUUAAUUCUUGUUGGUGUGUGUGUAUUACUUACAGUGAUUCUCUGUAAGUACUUCCCUUUUACAUUGUUGCAUCAUUAUCAGUUAAAAAGGAUCUUAGCAAGUCAAAGCUUUUAAAGAUGAGAUAUUUCUACUUGUGUGCAUUCUAAAUGCGGCUCUUGGAUCAACAGCGUUUUACUGUUAGAUUUAUUUUCCAUAACGUGUUGCUGGAUGGGGAAAACUUUCUGCAGCAAUGAGCUCUGUUCCUUGUGAGUAACCUGCUGUCUUGUUUUAAAGGAAAAACCCUGUUUGUAUGAAGCAGGGCCGGAGUUUAUUGGACUGCUGGGGAGCAGAGGAGGAGCAGGGACAGGGCAGUGGUCAGUGAGUUUGGAGCAGGAACACAGACUCGUUGUUUUCUCCUCUUACAGGUUUUUGUUCCAGGUUGUUCUGCAGCCUCGUGAGAUGCUGCAGCAUCCAGGUUAUGAGAAAUGCCAAGGAAGGAGGUGUUUGUGGAACACUUUAAAUUUAAUUUAUUUGUUGCUUUUACACAAAAAAAAGAUGUCUAAGGUUAAUGUUUUUAAAUAAGAAAUGCAUCUUUUGUUUUAAGACAGAACUCAGAGUCUUUUAACAGAACCCCUCUACACUUCAGUCACAGCAUUUACAGCAAACUGAGUUUGAAUAAAAGUGCAGUUUUGGCAUCAAAGGUAGAUUUCAUUCACAAAGUAGAUUUCCAUAAAAUUCUGCUGCAGCACGUGCUCAGCUUUAUUAGUAGACGUGCUUUCACACAUCAGGGAAAAAUUCAAAAAGUGAACCCGAAAGAGUAUUUCGUUUUAUGCUUAUUAUUUUCAAACUACUUCCUCAUUUGAAGGCCAUUGAUUAAACCAGAAGGAUCUGAUCGCCCUUGGCUGUGUAAUAAACAUGAUGCAAUUGCCUGGUGCCUGCUUGGUCAUCAGUUCUUCCAGGGGCAUCUCAGUCAGUUUCCCUGACAGUCUUUUUGUCACUCCCUGAAGUCACUCUGGCAGCUUUGUUUUAAUUUUCUGAGUGAGGUGUGUUUUAGAAGGUAUUGAUCUGGUAAAUUUAGGGCUCCCUCUGGGUAAAGAGAAGGAAAUCUCUCCUGUGAUUCUUACGUGGGCAGCACAGGUUGUGACUUUGUGAUCGUGUGGUGGGCAUCACUUAAGAGUCAUCAUAGGCAUUGUGUGCCAGGAACUCUCAUCUGUGAGAGCCUCAGCUCCUCAUUAAUGAGGAGGAAAGUUGAAAUAGAAAUUAAAGUAAAUUAACUGGGCAUGGUCAUCCAUCUCUUGAGCUCCUGAAGGAUGUUGGAUAUCCGAGUUAUUAAUGGCACUGUGGCAUUUCUCAGUUUUCAUAAAGACCCGCUUCCAGCAUUAAAGAGCAGUGUUCCUAACAUGACAUGCUGCCUUUAUUCUGUAGAACUAAACCAUGGGAAUUCACUUCUAA